rnacentral:rRNA from 1 species
UACGGAGGGUGCGAGCGUUGUCCGGAAUCAUUGGGCGUAAAGGGCGCGUAGGUGGCCCGGUCAGUUCGUGGUGAAAGCGCGGGGCUCAACCCUGCGUCGGCCAGGGAUACUGCCGCGGCUCGAGCACUGUAGAGGCAGGCGGAAUUCCGGGUGUAGCGGUGGAAUGCGUAGAGAUCCGGAAGAACACCGGUGGCGAAGGCGGCCUGCUGGGCAGUGGCUGACGCUGAGGCGCGACAGCGUGGGGAGCAAACAGG